GCCGGGCACGGCGACUGGCGAGCGCGGAACGGACCGCGGGGGAGCCGUGCCAGCAGGACCGCACGAGGCGCCGCCCGCCUGGGCGCCCCGG
rnacentral:ncRNA from 16 species